rnacentral:lncRNA from 1 species
UUUUUUUUUUUUUUCCCUUUAUAGGACCACACCCAUGGCAUAUGGAAAUUCCCAGGCUAGGGGUCAAAUCAGAACUACAGCUGCCAGACUGUGCCACAGCCAUAGCAAUACCAGCUUCAGGCCACAUCUACAGUUCAUGGCAACGCCAGAUCCUUAACCCACUGAGCAGGGCCAAGGAUUGAACCCGAGUUCUCAUGGAUAUUAGUCGGGUUCAUUACUGCUAAGCCACAAUGGGGACUCCAAGAUUAAAUAUGAUAAUGCAUGUAAGGCAUUUCACAUAAUGCUUGGUACAUGGUAAGGGCUAGUAGCCAUUCAGUGAAAAUCAUGGUAUUGAUGCUUAUAGUUCCCAAUGAAAUGUCCUGGCUUUUACAUGUGAAUGCCGAGAUGGCUGUCUCUCUUGGUAAGUCUUUGAUAUUUUAAUGCACUCAUUCAUUCAUUCAUUCAAUAGGUAUUUAUUUCAUCCUGACUACAUACCAGGCAUUGUUCUAGGCACUGAGGAUACAGCAGAGAAUAGAAAACUAUUCUCCUAGAGCUUACAUUCAAGUAGGGAGAAAGGUUAAAUUAGAAUGACAGGGAGUUGCCAUUACAGCACAGAGGAAACAGAUCCAGCUAGUAUCCAGGAGGAUACAGGUUUGACCUCUGGCCUUGCUCAGUGGGUCAGGGAUCUGGCAUUUCCAGUAAGGUGUGGUGUAGGUCGCAGAUGCAGGUCAGAUCCCCAGUUGCUGUGACUGUGACAUAGCUGCAGCUCUGAUUUGACCCCUCGCCUGGGAACUUCCAUAUGUCUCAGGUUCAGCCCUAAAAACCAAAAAAUAAAAUAAAAUAAAAAAUUUUUUAAAAAUGGCAAAGUGAAUCACAGGGUAUGCUAGGAAAGGGGAUAGGAAUUGUUUGGAAAGUGGAGGAAGAGAUUAAAAUUUUAGGUAAGAUAUCUCAGGAAGUCUCUAUUGCGAAUGUGACAUUUAAGACCAGAUUUCACUACGUAUACCCUGCAGAUAGAGCAAUCCAGAGGGAGUGAGUAGCAAGUGUGAAGGCACUGAAUCAGGAACACACCUGGAGUGUUCCAGGACUAACAUGUAGGCUAGACAGACUGGAGGAGGUUGGGGAAGGGAUGAAGAUAGGGGUGAGUGGUUGGCUGGUGACUUGAUGAUGAGAGCCUUGUAGAGAUUUUGUUUUUAUUUGGCGUGAGAUGAGAAACCAUUAGAUAUGGUUGCUUUGAGACAUUUCAUCUUGAAGAGUGUUUGGUGGUUUCUAUAGUGAAAUAGCUGCAUUUAAUACCAGGUGAGACUCAUCAUUAUCUCAGCUUGCCAAAUUGAUAGUCAGAGGACCUGGUUUUGGAAAAUAAUACAGGAAAGAGGUUCAAGUAAAAUCUACAAAGAUUUAGUGAUUAUUUCUGGUAUUGCAUUUUUCAUCAUUCAUGGACGGAUAGCCAAUUACGGAAGAUGCUGGGAAUCAGAGGAAAUCACCACUACCCAACAAGAAGAAUUUCGGGGGUGUGUAAUUAACCAGGAUCAAAUUGAGGCUUUAGCAAGGAAGAAAUGAACAGACACUACCAAAAAAAAAAAAAAAAAAAAAGAUAUAGUUGCUUUGUAUGCUUCAAAAUAAUUUUUUAAAAAUUUAUUUUAUUUUUUUAAUUGUUAUUUCCCAAUACAAUUUUUUUUUCUACUAUACAGCAUGGUGACCUAGUUACACAUACUUUUUUCUCACGUUAUCAUGCUCCAUUAUAAGUGACUAGACAGAGUUCCCAGUGCUACACAGCAGGAUCUCAUUGCUAAUCCAUUUCAAAGGCAAUAGUCUGCAUCUAUUAAUCCCAAAUUCCCAAUCCAUCCUGCUCCCGAUAUCACUUAUAUGUAAAAAUUUAUUUUAUUGAAGUAGAGUUGAGUUACAAUGUUGUAUUAGUUUCUGUUGUAUUGAAAAGUUAUACAUAUAUGUUCUUUUUCAUACUCUUUUCCAUUUCGGUUUAUUACAGGGUAUUGAAUAUAGUUGGCUGUGCUAUACAGUACUAUCUUGUUUAUCCAUUCUAUGUAUAAUAGUUUGCAUCUGAUAUCCCAAACUCCCAAUCCAACCCUCCCCCAUAAAAUAUUUUCUGAUAGGAAACCAUGGAAAAAGGAAUAGGCAAUGUAAGCACGUAUAUCUAGACUGUUGACUAUAAGCUAAGAUGGAGAAGGGGAAAUUUUUGCUUCUUCUUGUUGACAGGGCUUAUCCAGCCAAGUUCCAAAUCUUGCUAAUUUGGGAAUUCCAUCUUAUAUCCACUGAAAGACCUAACUUGGCUGAAGACACAAGUUCAGGUUUAGUAAAGAGAGCUGAUGGCAAAAAUCUGGCAUUCUUACCCAAGGAAAUGGGUUUGUUUUAUUCUGUUUGAGUGUGUGAUAUCCAUUGUCAUGAGUGCAAAACUCUCCUUAGAACAUAAAACUUAACACUCCUUUUUCUGUACAAGCAACAAGGUGUUUAAAGCAUUCAUGAAAGGUAUGUCCAUUUAUCUUUCUCCUUAAGAUUAUUGGAAAAUGAAGUAUUGGAGUGAGAAAAUGAGACAACAGCUAGAAGUAUAGUGUGAGAAGGGUUGAAGGCACUCUCAAUUGUAGCUUAUUUUCAUGGCUGCAGAGUGUUGAGACAAAUCAUUGAAACAAAUUUCCCUGUCUCUUGGGGGACUGGGAAUUCUUGUCUUUUGGAUUCUUGGUAAGAUUCUAUCAGUGGCAUGCAUUUCUCAAUAGUCUUUUCUUCCAGUAUUCUGACUCAGAUUUAAGGUGUUUCUUUUAAGCAUGUCAACAAGUAUAAACACAUGCUUGAAUGUUUUUUUCUCCUUGAGUCCAAGUUGAUAUUAAUCAGAAUUCAUUUCAGAUAAAAAUCUCAACAGGCACUUGAACUCAAAGGUGAGAGUGCAUUCCAUUCUGUUCUUAUUUUAUGGAGCAAUUCUCCUGCCAGCUCUGGCUUGGCAACUUGACUCUCCUGCAAAGACUGGUUCUCAGGAGUAUCUACAGAAUGAGGAACAUCUCUGAGCCCCCUCUUGAAGGCAGGAGGGAUAGACUGCUUGAGGUUUCAUAAGGUUUGCAACAUUCGAGGCAAUUCUGUGGAUCUCAAACUUUUUUUUUUUUUUUUUUUGGCCUCGCACAUGGAUGUUCCUGGGGCCAGGGAUCAAACCUGAGCCACAGCAGUGACAAUGCUGAGUCCUUAACGGCUAGGCCACCAGGGAACUCUGAUUUCAAACUUUUAAAACAUCAUUCUGUAUUUUAUAAAAAUGAAAUUGUUUCCAAUUCUGCCUCCUGCUAUUCAUUUCAGAGUUAUCACAGCAGGAUUUGCUAAAGGACCGAAGACAACUGCUAACCCUUUAAAAGGCAGUUUUUCUGUAUAAACGGUCACACAGGCGGAUUGCUUGGGACUGCAUUUAUUCAUUUCCCAACAUUCAUUAUCAUAUUUCAUCUUGGAUUAAUUUCUUGACAAUGCCAGCCC